CCAUAGUUUAGAGGAAUUAAGGGUGGGGUUUAACUAGUGUCAUGUGCCCGUUUUCAGAAAAGAGUGGUGGAGACUGGAACUAGCAGAACAGCUGCAGGACAAAGACAGAAUGAAAGGGUUAUGGAAAAGAGAAGAGCACAAUUGAGCACAAUCCGCAUCCACAGAAAUGACUUACCUGAAUACUCCUGGUGCUGGACUGUAAAGGGAAAUCGAGAGAACUAGAUUCUAUCAUCAGCCAAGAUUGUGGGAGAAUAAAGGCAUGUCCCUAUUCAGAUAUUUACUAGCCAAUGAGCCAAUAAUCUCUGUAACAAAAAAUAAAGGU